rnacentral:rRNA from 1 species
UACGGAGGGUGCAAGCGUUGCUCGGAAUUACUGGGCGUAAAGCGCGUGUAGGCGGUUUCGUGUGUCUGAUGUGAAAUCCCCGGGCUCAACCCGGGAAGUGCAUUGGAAACUGCGAGACUAGAGUCCCGGAGAGGAAGGUGGAAUUCCAGGUGUAGCGGUGAAAUGCGUAGAUAUCUGGAAGAACACCGGUUGCGAAGGCCGCCUUCUGGACGGUGACUGACGCUGAGACGCCAAAGCGUGGGGAGCAAACAGG